CCUACGGGACGCACCAGUGGGGAAUAUUGCACAAUGGGCGGAAGCCUGAUGCAGCGACGCCGCGUGAGGGAUGACGGCCUUCGGGUUGUAAACCUCUUUCAGCAGGGACGAAGCGUAAGUGACGGUACCUGCAGAAGAAGCACCGGCUAACUACGUGCCAGCAGCCGCGGUAAUACGUAGGGUGCGAGCGUUGUCCGGAAUUACUGGGCGUAAAGAGCUCGUAGGCGGUUUGUCACGUCGUCUGUGAAAUCCUAGGGCUUAACCCUGGACGUGCAGGCGAUACGGGCUGACUUGAGUACUACAGGGGAGACUGGAAUUUCUGGUGUAGCGGUGGAAUGCACAGAUAUCAGGAAGAACACCGAUGGCGAAGGCAGGUCUCUGGGUAGUAACUGACGCUGAGGAGCGAAAGCAUGGGUAGCGAACAGGAUUAGAUACCCCCGUAGUC
rnacentral:rRNA from 1 species